GUCUGGAGUAAGCCCAGGAAUACGGUGCAGCAGAGUUCUUUAGGCCACAUGCUUAACCAAGAAGAGAUUUCCUCAUCUUGCACAUUGUGCAUGAGUCUCACAAACCAUGGUUGGGAAGAUCUGGACUAGGAGUCAGGGGAUUUUGACUUUGCCAGCCACUGCUAA
rnacentral:ribozyme from 2 species